AUUGAACGCUGGCGGCAGGCUUAACGCAUGCAAGUCGAGCGGGGUGAUGGUGCUUGCACUAUCACUUAGCGGCGGACGGGUGAGUAAUGCUUAGGAAUCUGCCUAUUAGUGGGGGACAACAUCUCGAAAGGGAUGCUAAUACCGCAUACGUCCUACGGGAGAAAGCAGGGGAUCACUUGUGACCUUGCGCUAAUAGAUGAGCCUAAGUCGGAUUAGCUAGUUGGUGGGGUAAAGGCCUACCAAGGCGACGAUCUGUAGCGGGUCUGAGAGGAUGAUCCGCCACACUGGGACUGAGACACGGCCCAGACUCCUCCGGGAGGCAGCAGUGGGGAAUAUUGGACAGUGGGGGGAACCCUGAUCCAGCCAUGCCGCGUGUGUGAAGAAGGCCUUAUGGUUGUAAAGCACUUUAAGCGAGGAGGAGGCUCUUUUGGUUAAUACCCAAGAUGAGUGGACGUUACUCGCAGAAUAAGCACCGGCUAACUCUGUGCCAGCCGCCGCCGUAA
rnacentral:rRNA from 1 species